rnacentral:rRNA from 1 species
GAUGAACGCUGGCGGCGUGCCUAAUACAUGCAAGUCGAGCGAACGGACGAGAAGCGCGUGUCCCUGAUGUUAGCGGGGGACGGGCGAGUAACACGUGGAUAACCUACCUCUAAGACUGGGAGAACUACGGGAAGCCGCAGCUAAUACCACAUAAUAUUUUGAACCGCAUGGUUCAAAAGUGAAAGACGGUCUUGCCGACUCAUAUAGACGGAUCCGCGCUGCAUUAGCUAGUUGGUAAGGUAACGGCCUACCAAGGCAACGAUGCAUAGCCGACCUGAGAGGGUGAUCGGCCACACUGGAACUGAGACACGGUCCAGACUCCUACGGGAGGCAGCAGUAGGGAAUAUUCCGCAAUGGGCGCAAGCCUGAUGGAGCAACGCCGCGUGGGUGAAGAAGGUCUUCGGGUCGUAAAGCUCUGUUGUUGGGAAAGAACAUAUGUAUAUGUAACUGUCCACGUCCUGACGGUACCUAAAGAGUAAGCCCCGGCUAACUUCGUG